rnacentral:rRNA from 1 species
AUUGAACGCUGGCGGAAUGCUUUACACAUGCAAGUCGAACGGCAGCACGGACUUCGGUCUGGUGGCGAGUGGCGGACGGGUGAGUAAUGUAUCGGAACGUGCCCAGUCGUGGGGGAUAACGUAGUGAAAAUUACGCUAAUACCGCAUACGAUCUAUGGAUGAAAGCGGGGGAUCGCAAGACCUCGAGCGAUUGGAGCGGCCGAUAUCAGAUUAGGUAGUUGGUGGGGUAAAGGCCCACCAAGCCAACGAUCUGUAGCUGGUCUGAGAGGACGACCAGCCACACUGGAACUGAGACACGGUCCAGACUCCUACGGGAGGCAGCAGUGGGGAAUUUUGGACAAUGGGCGAAAGCCUGAUCCAGCCAUUCCGCGUGCAGGGUGAAGGCCCUCGGGUUGUAAACUGCUUUUGUACAGAACGAAAAGGUUUCUACUAAUACUAGGAGCUCAUGACGGUACUGUAAGAAUAAGCACCGGCUAACUACGUGCCAGCCGCCGCUGUAA